rnacentral:rRNA from 1 species
UUCAUUAAACCUAUCAUUUAGAGAAGGAGAAGUCGUAACAAGGUUUCCGUAGGUGAACCUGCGGAAGGAUCAUUG